CNAUCCUGGUGGCGAGUGGCGAACGGGUGAGUAAUAUAUCGGAACGUGCCCAGUCGUGGGGGAUAACGCAGCGAAAGCUGUGCUAAUACCGCAUACGAUCUAUGGAUGAAAGCGGGGGAUCGCAAGACCUCGCGCGAUUGGAGCGGCCGAUAUCAGAUUAGCUAGUUGGUGGGGUAAAAGCCCACCAAGGCGACGAUCUGUAGCUGGUCUGAGAGGACGACCAGCCACACUGGAACUGAGACACGGUCCAGACUCCUACGGGAGGCAGCAGUGGGGAAUUUUGGACAAUGGGCGCAAGCCUGAUCCAGCAAUGCCGCGUGCAGGAUGAAGGCCUUCGGGUUGUAAACUGCUUUUGUACGGAACGAAACGGCGAGCUCUAAUAAAGCUCGCUAAUGACGGUACCGUAAGAAUAAGCACCGGCUAACUACGUGCCAGCAGCCGCGGUAAUACGUAGGGUGCAAGCGUUAAUCGGAAUUACUGGGCGUAAAGCGUGCGCAGGCGGUGAUGUAAGACAGAUGUGAAAUCCCCGGGCUCAACCUGGGACCUGCAUUUGUGACUGCAUCGCUAGAGUACGGUAGAGGGGGAUGGAAUUCCGCGUGUANCANUGAAAUGCAUANAUAUGCGGANGAACACCGAUGGCGAANGCAAUCCCCUGNACCUGUACUGACGCUCAUGCACGAAAGCGUGGGGAGCAAACAGGAUUANAUACCCUGNUAGUCCACGCCCUAAACGAUGUCAACUGGUUGUUGGGUCUNCACUGACUCANUANNNAANCUAACGCGUGAAGUUGACCGCCUG
rnacentral:rRNA from 1 species